UUAGUACUCUUAUAAACCCUAGAGGUGGUCAAAAGAAAGGAUAGGAACCAUGGAACCUUCGCCUGGAUGCCCUGUUUCGCACCAACACCGUCCGAUGAUCCUCUAUCCGCAUCACCACCAUACAAUCCUCUGCCCUGCCCACCACAACCACCAUCAUACAAAAAGCUGCCCUCUCCACCAUCACCACCACUAUACAAUAAGCUGCCCUCUCCACCACCACCACCACCACCACCAUCACCACCUCAUUACUCACCAUUCUCACGUAAUCCCUACUUUAGCUCCUCUUGUGUCUACAACCGCGCCAAACGAAACCCACCAUUCUGGCAAUCCGGCGUUGCAAGAGCAAGAGUAUGAACAACUACAACAGGUAGAAGAAGAGGAUGAUGAGGAAGAUGAGCCCAUUUUUGUUCUAACAGAUGAAUGGAGGGAGUUUUUUGCAAAAUCCGAAGCAAAAAGAAAAUUGGAGAAGAAGCAGGCUAAGAAGAAACAGAAAAAUUAAAUUCUGGGAAUGAUGAAAGAUUCUUGACUCUAUCACCUCGUUUGACACUCAAAUAUAGACAUAUCGCGGGUCGAAGUUAGUCCGAGUUAGUUUUAGAUUAUAAUGUUUUCAGGUAUAGGUUAAAUCAAACCAGAGAUCUCCAUGCUUUCACUUCUUUCUUAAUAUACAGUCAACCGACAUGGCGAUAAUAGAUUACAGUCAUGCAUCGCACUGGUGUUAGGUAUUUGUCUUCAACCAUCUAAGGCUUAAAAUCGAGUUUGCUGAAAGCAGCAUUGAUUCGUUCAUCUGAAAUUUUGUAGUUUUCGUAGAAAUCUAAAAUCUCCAUGGAGAUGUUCUUCACCUGCAAGUUUUCGAUGAAAUGAAGUUAGAAAUGGACACUUUUUUAUAUUACAUAUGGAUUUAGUUGUUUUCUUGUAACGAAAGAAACUGUAACGCACCACAUUCAUAUCGACAUGAAGCUCUUCAAACCAAGUGGUGAUAUCUUUCUCUCUGUGUACACUAGCAAUGUACAUGCAAGCUAAGGCAAUCAAAUAUGGUGGAUGUAUAAGAAUAAGGUCCAUCUUGUAUGUGUC